rnacentral:tRNA from 1 species
AGGGGAAUCGCCAAGUUGGUAAGGCAUCGGAUUUUGAUUCCGACACUCGCAGGUUCGAGUCCUGCUUCCCCUGCCA